GAUGAACGCUAGCGGCAGGCUUAACACAUGCAAGUCGAGGGGCAGCGCGUCGUAGCAAUACGAUGGCGGCGACCGGCGGAAGGGUGCGUAACGCGUGAGCAACUUGCCCGUCACAGGGGGAUAACCGGUGGAAACGCCGACUAACACCCCGUAACACAUUGCGCUGCAUGGCGUGAUGUUGAAAACUCCGGUGGUGACGGAUAGGCUCGCGUGCCAUUAGCUAGUCGGCGGGGCAACGGCCCACCGAGGCGACGAUGGCUAGGGGUUCUGAGAGGAAGGCCCCCCACACUGGGACUGAGACACGGCCCAGACUCCUACGGGAGGCAGCAGUGAGGAAUAUUGGACAAUGGAGGCAACUCUGAUCCAGCCAUGCCGCGUGAAGGACUAAAGGCCCUAUGGGCUGUAAACUUCUUUAGACGCAGAGCAAUAAGGGCCACGUGUGGUCCGAUGAGAGUAUGCGUAAGAAUAAGCAUCGGCUAACUCCGUGCCA
rnacentral:rRNA from 1 species